rnacentral:lncRNA from 1 species
UUCCUGAGUGGAUAUAUAGGGAUAUUGAAUUAGGAAAGUCUAGAAGGCUUAUCGAGGAUGAGAUCAGCAAUGAGGAACAUGAGCUAGCAAAGAAGAUGGCUUUGGUUGGUUUGUGGUGUAUUCAGUCUUCUCCGUUGGAUCGCCCACCUAUGAAAUAGCAAAGAAGAUGGCUUUGGUUGGUUUGUGGUGUAUUCAGUCUUCUCCGUUGGAUCGCCCACCGAUGAACAGAGUUGUAGAGAUGAUGGAAGGAAGCUUGGAUGCUCUCGAAGUGCCUCCUAGGCCUGUUUUGCAAAUUCCCAUAGCACCUCUUCAAGAGCCUUCAACACUUUCAAGGGAUAUUUCGGUUUACACCG